rnacentral:rRNA from 1 species
UGGGGAAUAUUGGGCAAUGGGGGAAACCCUGACCCAGCAACGCCGCGUGGAGGAAGAAGGUUUUCGGAUCGUAAACUCCUGUCCUUGGAGACGAGUAGAAGACGGUAUCCAAGGAGGAAGCCCCGGCUAACUACGUGCCAGCAGCCGCGGUAAUACGUAGGGGGCAAGCGUUGUCCGGAAUAAUUGGGCGUAAAGGGCGCGUAGGCGGCUCGGUAAGUCUGGAGUGAAAGUCCUACUUUUAAGGUGGGAAUUGCUUUGGAUACUGUCGGGCUUGAGUGCAGGAGAGGUUAGUGGAAUUCCCAGUGUAGCGGUGAAAUGCGUAGAUAUUAGGAGGAACACCGGUGGCGAAGGCGGCUUUCUGGACUGUAACUGACGCUGAGGCACGAAAGCGUGGGGAGCAAACAGGAUUAGAUACCCUGGUAGU